ACUCCUACGGGAGGCAGCAGUGGGAAUAUUGCACAAUGGGAAGCCAUCGAUGCAGCCAUGCCGCGCUGUGUGAAGAAGGCCAAUUCGGGCUUGGUAAGACACUUUCAGUCGUGAGGAAGGUAGUGUAGUUAAUAGCUGCAUUAUUUGACGUUAGCGACAGAAGAAGCACCGGCUAACUCCGUGCCAGCAGCCGCGGUAAUACGGAGGGUGCGAGCGUUAAUCGGAAUUACUGGGCGUAAAGCGCAUGCAGGUGGUUUGUUAAGUCAGAUGUGAAAGCCCGGGCUCAAGCCUC
rnacentral:rRNA from 1 species